rnacentral:rRNA from 1 species
CCUAGGGUGGCAGCAGUGGGGAAUAUUGGACAAUGGGCGAAAGCCUGAUCCAGCCAUGCCGCGUGUGUGAAGAAGGCCUUCGGGUUGUAAAGCACUUUCAGUGGGGAAGAAAGCCUUGGGGCUAAUACCCUCGAGGAAGGACAUCACCCACAGAAGAAGCACCGGCUAACUCCGUGCCAGCAGCCGCGGUAAUACGGAGGGUGCGAGCGUUAAUCGGAAUUACUGGGCGUAAAGCGCGCGUAGGCGGUCUGAUAAGCCGGUUGUGAAAGCCCCGGGCUCAACCUGGGAACGGCAUCCGGAACUGUCAGGCUAGAGUGCAGGAGAGGAAGGUAGAAUUCCCGGUGUAGCGGUGAAAUGCGUAGAGAUCGGGAGGAAUACCAGUGGCGAAGGCGGCCUUCUGGACUGACACUGACGCUGAGGUGCGAAAGCGUGGGUAGCAAACAGGAUUAGAUACCCGUGUAGUC